AGACGUCUACAUUACGAUACCCCCGUAGUCCUAGCCGUAAACGAUACUCGCUAGGUGUCGGCCACGGUGCGACCGUUGUCGGUGCCGUAGGGAAGCCGUGAAGCGAGCCACCUGGGAAGUACGGCCGCAAGGCUGAAACUUAAAGGAAUUGGCGGGGGAGCACAACAACGGGUGGAGCUUGCGGUUUAAUUGGAUUCAACGCCGGAAAUCUUACCGGGACCGACAGCAACAUGAAGGCCAAGCUGAAGACUUUUGCCGGAUUAGCUG
rnacentral:rRNA from 1 species